AGAUUUCCAUCACAACCAAACUCAAAGGGGUUUCCGUGACUCAGAUCAAGGAGCUUGGAAACCGGCUGUGGGAUGUGGCCGACUUCGUGAAGCCACCUCAGGGAGAGAACGUGUUCUUCUUGGU